CGUACACUCCUGCGGGAGGCAGCAGUGGGGAAUAUUGCACAAUGGGCGCAAGCCUGAUGCAGCCAUGCCGCGUGUAUGAAGAAGGCCUUCGGGUUGUAAAGUACUUUCAGCGGGGAGGAAGGCGAUAAGGUUAAUAACCUUGUUGAUUGACGUUACCCGCAGAAGAAGCACCGGCUAACUCCGUGCCAGCAGCCGCGGUAAUACGGAGGGUGCAAGCGUUAAUCGGAAUUACUGGGCGUAAAGCGCACGCAGGCGGUCUGUCAAGUCGGAUGUGAAAUCCCCGGGCUCAACCUGGGAACUGCAUUCGAAACUGGCAGGCUAGAGUCUUGUAGAGGGGGGUAGAAUUCCAGGUGUAGCGGUGAAAUGCGUAGAGAUCUGGAGGAAUACCGGUGGCGAAGGCGGCCCCCUGGACAAAGACUGACGCUCAGGUGCGAAAGCGUGGGGAGCAAACAGGAUUAGAAACCCCAGUAGUCCCAUGAU
rnacentral:rRNA from 1 species